rnacentral:rRNA from 1 species
GUAGUUUGAUCCUGGCUCAGAACGAACGCUGGCGGCAGGCCUAACACAUGCAAGUCGAGCGCACCGCAAGGUGAGCGGCGGACGGGUGAGUAACGCGUGGGAACGUACCCUUUGCUUCGGAAUAGCCUCGGGAAACUGAGAGUAAUACCGGAUACGCCCUUAUCGGGGAAAGAUUUAUCGGCGAAGGAUCGGCCCGCGUUGGAUUAGGUAGUUGGUGGGGUAAUGGCCUACCAAGCCGACGAUCCAUAGCUGGUUUGAGAGGAUGAUCAGCCACACUGGGACUGAGACACGGCCCAGACUCCCACGGGAGGCAGCAGUGGGGAAUCUUAGACAAUGGGGGCAACCCUGAUCUAGCCAUGCCGCGUGAGUGAUGAAGGCCUUAGGGUUGUAAAGCUCUUUCAGCUGGGAAGAUAAUGACGGUACCAGCAGAAGAAGCCCCGGCUAACUCCGUG